rnacentral:rRNA from 1 species
UACAGAGGUCCCAAGCGUUGUUCGGAUUCACUGGGCGUAAAGGGUGCGCAGGCGGUUUGUCGCGUCUGCCGUGAAAGUCCGGGGCUCAACUCCGGAUCUGCGGUGGGUACGGGCAGACUAGAGUGAUGUAGGGGGAGACUGGAAUUCCCAGUGUAGAGGUGAAAUUCGUAGAUAUUGGGAAGAACACCCGGUGGCGAAGGCGGCUCUCUGGACCGAUACUGACGCUGAGGCGCGAAAGCGUGGGGAGCAAACAGG